AGUUGGUGGAGUGAUUUGUCUGGUUAAUUCCGUUAACGAACGAGACCUCGACCUACUAAAUAGUUUGGCGAAUCCUUUGGGAUUCGUGCAAUACUUCUUAGAGGGACUAUUUGUGUGUAGCAGAUGGAAGUUCGAGGCAAUAACAGGU
rnacentral:rRNA from 1 species